AUUUUCUAUGUUAUGAGGAGAAGGCAGGAAAAUGGGGUUGAGAGGGAACGAUAGACUCUGUUGAAUGACAGAGUAGACUCAAUGGACCAAAUGGCCUAAUUCUGCUCCGACAACAUGAACUUAUGAUAGGAAAGUUAUGGAGGGAUUUAGGCUAAACACAGGCAGGAAAUUGGGGCAUGCUUGGUUGGCAUGGGCAAGUUGGGCUGAAUGGCCUGAUUCCAAGGAUUCUGACUUGUACAUGACAGAACGUUGGUUGUACAUUAGCUCCACGAAUGAGUGAUAUAUGAUGCUGCAGAAUUCAGCAGAUUGGGAAAAGUCUUAACUCGUAUUAUACAGGUAAAUCGAUCCAUAAGGAUAUGCAAUCAAGGACAAUGCUUGGGAUUAAAGGAUUUAGAAUUCACACAAUCUCAUAAAGCAGACUAGAAAGGGAGAUGAGUUGGACGUUCUUGAAUAUUGUUUGAAGUGAGGCCUUUGAAUAAGUUUAUCUCAGUGAAAUAGUGGACUUUUGAAACAUAUUAAUCAUUAGCAUCAGCAUUUAAUGUUUUUUGCGAAUUGCAGUACAGGUAUAAUGAAAGUUAAUGAAAAUCUAGCAAUCGUAUAAGUAGAGUUAGACACAAUGCUGGAGUAACUUAGCAGGUCAGGCACAUUCUCUAGAAAAUGGAUAGCUGUAUUUCAGGUUGGGGUACUUCUUCAGACAGGGUCUAAAGAAGGGUCCCUACCCGAAAUGUCACCUAUCCAUUUCUACAGAGAAAUUGCUUGACCUGCUGAGUUACUUGAGCAUUAUGUGUCUUAUCUUUGGUAUAAACCAGCAGCUGCAGUUUCUUUUUAUUAUAACCAUAUAAGCAACUGGUUUAGAAGCAUGGUCUUGGCUGUUGAAGUGUUAUAAAUUAAACUUUAGACGUAAUGCACACUUGAUCAACGUCAGGACAGAUCCAACAGUUGAGUGUUGGUUGGUGAAGAUGGUGCAGUCAACAUAAGGAUGUUCAUUUGUUGGAGCCUGGAAAAGCUGGAUCAUGGCUGAGAUGAGGAUGAAGGGAGAGGGAGGUAAAUCACCAGAUUUGUGCAAGGUGAAGACUAGAUUGCAAUGAGGUAUCUGGGGCUUUCAACCUUGACCUUGUGGGAACUGCAAUAUGACAAAGGUUAAGGUAACGUGCAUCCAGCUACAGUUUUGAAAUUUGAAUAUGUUUUAGUUCUUAGUUAAAUAGUUGUUUUUAGAAACAUUAAUCAUUAGCGCUGGAUUUUAAUGUUUUGUUAAUUGCAAUGUCAUGAGUUUUAAUGGAAAACUAGAAACCCUAUGUAUUGAUGCUGGUUUUGAUGCAUGUUGUGUGCUGUUGAUUUUUUUCAAUAUUCUGAUAUUUCAUGAAUGUUUUAGGAAUAUUUCAAUCUUGACCUUGUGGAAACUGCCGUAUGAGAAAGAUUAAGGUAGCAUGCAGCCAGCUACAGGUGCCAGCUAAAGAUCCUUGAACAUUGAGUGAUAGUUGUACAGCACAAGGUCCUGGAGAGUUGGUCUUUGGACAUGCAACUGGCUCUAACCAUACAGCACAAGAUCCAAGAGUUAUCCUACUGAUUAAAUGCAAAUAGAGGAUUGAAAUGCAUGCAGUUUUUAAUUUGAUAUAUUCGUGCUUUUAUGGACGUAUUGUGAUUGGUGAUAGGAAUUUGAAGAGUGCGCAAGAUUUCAAUCGGUCAGAAUGUAUAUAAAAGUCGACACUUCCAAGCAGAAUUUCAGAGUAGUGCGAUAACUGGGACUGUGCUGCUCUUCUCUUGCACACGUAAAUAAAGAGUGUUUGGGAAACAAACGCAAGUUGUCUGAGUCCAGUUGAUCAGGGAUGACAACCUGUGUGGAAUUAGGUGGUCACAUCACUUUCUGCCAGCUAUUAAUGGAUACAGUAUCAAUGAAUCUUUAUACUGUCCAAGAAUGCAGUGGAAAGAUGUGAAGACACCCUAGAUGAAAUGAUGAUGGGUGCACUCUAAUAUUCAGAGACACCUGUCCCCUGCUUGCUUCCGUUGGAUUGUAUAAUGAUUCAUUUACAACAAUACAUUUGGGUCUCCAUUGGGUGUUGGAGUCACAGCCGAUAGUUCUACAUUACAUUAAAACCGCAUUAAUAGUUUUAUUGAGCUUUUAAGUUUGUGAUUAAGUUUAAGUUUGGACAUUAUAAAAAUAAUGUAUAUAGUUAACAUACAUUAUUUUAACUAUAUGUUCAUUCUGAAGUGAUUUAAGACAAGUGACUAUUGCAUGUUUUA